AGAGUUUGAUCAUGGCUCAGAUUGAACGCUGGCGGCAUGCCUAACACAUGCAAGUCGAACGCGAAAGGGGGCAACCCCCGAGUAGAGUGGCGGACGGGUGAGUAAUACGUAGGAAUCUACCCAGUAGUGGGGGACAACUUAGGGAAACUUAAGCUAAUACCGCAUACGCACUACGGUGGAAAGCAGGGGAUCGCAAGACCUUGCGCUAUUGGAUGAGCCUACGUCUGAUUAGCUUGUUGGUAGGGUAACGGCCUACCAAGGCGACGAUCAGUAGCUGGUUUGAGAGAACGACCAGCCACACUGGGACUGAGACACGGCCCAGACUCCUACGGGAGGCAGCAGUGGGGAAUAUUGGACAAUGGGGGCAACCCUGAUCCAGCAAUGCCGCGUGUGUGAAGAAGGCCUUAGGGUUGUAAAGCACUCUCGGCAGGGAGGAAAAGCUCAAGGCUAAUAUCCUUGGGUCUUGACGUUACCUGCAGAAGAAGCACCGGCUAACUCUGUGCCAGCAGCCGCGGUAAUACAGAGGGUGCAAGCGUUAAUCGGAAUUACUGGGCGUAAAGGGCGCGUAGGUGGUUGGAUAAGUCGGAUGUGAAAUCCCCGGGCUCAACCUGGGAACUGCAUUCGAAACUGUCUGACUAGAGUUUGGUAGAGGGAAGUGGAAUUCCACAUGUAGCGGUGAAAUGCGUAGAUAUGUGGAGGAACAUCAGUGGCGAAGGCGGCUUCCUGGACUAAAACUGACACUGAGGCGCGAAAGCGUGGGGAGCAAAUAGGAUUAGAUACCCUGGUAGUCCACGCUGUAAACGAUGAGAACUAGACGUUGGAAGGUUUAACCUUUUAGUGUCGCAGCUAACGCACUAAGUUCUCCGCCUGGGGAGUACGGUCGCAAGACUAAAACUCAAAGGAAUUGACGGGGGCCCGCACAAGCGGUGGAGUAUGUGGUUUAAUUCGAUGCAACGCGAAAAACCUUACCUGCUCUUGACAUCUAGAGAACCCCGCAGAGAUGUGGGGGUGCCGCAAGGAACUCUAAGACAGGUGCUGCAUGGCUGUCGUCAGCUCG
rnacentral:rRNA from 1 species